rnacentral:rRNA from 1 species
UGGGGAGUAUUGGACAAUGGGGGAAACCCUGAUCCAGCGACGCCGCGUGUGUGAAGAAGGCCUGCGGGUUGUAAAGCACUUUUAGGGGGGAUGCAAUGUGCAGGGCUAAUACCUCUGCAUUUUGACCUAACCCACAGAAAAAGCACCGGAUAACUCUGUGCCAGCAGCCGCGGUAAUACAGAGGGUGCAAGCGUUAAUCGGAAUUACUGGGCGGAAAGCGUGCGUAGACGGUUACAUAAGUCGGGUGUGAAAGCCCCGGGCUCAACCUGGGAAUUGCAUUCGAGACUGCGUAGCUAGGGUGCGGAAGAGGGAAGCGGAAUUUCCGGUGUAGCGGUGAAAUGCGUAGAUAUCGGAAGGAACACCAGUGGCGAAAGCGGCUUCCUGGUCCAGCACCGACGUUCAGGCACGAAAGCGUGGGGAGCAAAC